rnacentral:lncRNA from 1 species
UUCAUUCAUGAACACCACAUGCAAUUAAUUAAGUCAAAAACCAAGCGAAAAUGCUGCAAACAAAAAAAAUAUUAAACGUAUAUAGCUGAUUUCAUAGUCUAUUCAAGAAGGUAAAUUUAUGGAAUUCAUACCAACAAAAGGAAAUUAUAAGAACAACAACAAUUAGUACUCCCUGUAGGCACUAAAUGAAAUCAUUAACAAUGACGCAAGAUUGAGGGGCCUGAUCCAAUUCAUAUUACCACUGGCAAACAAAGACGAACAUUAUACAGAUAUAUUGAAUUAGAGCACUGGCAUGUGACACUUAUUCUUCAUAGCUAGGUAAGACUAAACCUGACUUUUCAGGAAGAAGGAAUCAUAUUCCGCUAAGCAGUCAAAUUCUUAACAAUGUUGAUAAAUUAAGGGCCAACAUUUUACAACUAUCUUUACAUAGCAUGCUGUGUAACUAAUACUGGCAGAAAUUAAACGACAUUAUAUAACAACUUCAGUGAAAUUUGUUUCUAAAAUAUUGGAAAAACAAUUAUUUACAAGAACCCUAACCCUAGGACUUAAAGCUAUCAAAGGGCACCACUAGAGAAAAUGCAUGUACGAUUCUGAUAAACAUUUUUCCUUCGUUAAAAAAUAGAAUGUGCCCUUUCUUCUAACCCUUUGAUUAUCAUGCACAACAUAUAGAUGAACAACGCAAACACUAGCAUAUAAUUUCACGAACAUGCCCCAACAAAGACAAAAAUCCAAUAUAAUUUCAGUGGUCAAAUCACACAGGAGUAGUACCGUAAUGUGAUAUUGAUGAGCAAAAAACCAAAGAGUCAACUUUGCUAUGUAACAUAAUGCAACAACAACAAUCAAAAUCAAACUAGCUACAUCUUGAACUUACUACUUCAGCGGUUCUUUCAUUGAAGCGAACCUAAAAAUCAAAAGUCUUCAACCAAAGAACAAUAUCAGAG